AUUGAACGCUGGCGGCAGGCUUAACACAUGCAAGUCGAGCGGAGCGAGGGUGCUUGCACCUUAGCUUAGCGGCGGACGGGUGAGUGAUGCUUAGGAAUCUGCCUAUUAGUGGGGGACAACAUUCCGAAAGGAAUGCUAAUACCGCAUACGCCCUACGGGGGAAAGCAGGGGAUCUUCGGACCUUGCGCUAAUAGAUGAGCCUAAGUCGGAUUAGCUAGUUGGUGGGGUAAAGGCCUACCAAGGCGACGAUCUGUAGCGGGUCUGAGAGGAUGAUACGCCACAAUGGGACUGAGACACGGCCCAGACUCCUACGGGAGGCAGCAGUGGGGAAUAUUGGACAAUGGGCGGAGGCCUGAUCCAGCCAUGCCGCGUGUGUGAAGAAGGCCUUUUGGUUGUAAAGCACUUUAAGCGAGGAGGAGGCUACUUAGAUUAAUACUCUGGGAUAGUGGACGUUACUCGCAGAAUAAGCACCGGCUAACUCUGUGCCAGCCGCCGCGGUAAAAC
rnacentral:rRNA from 1 species